UAAAGCGCAACGAAAAAGAGUAAGUAGCAUUAGAAAACGUAACAAGAGAGUUGUCGGUUGGUGGGAGACAAUUACGUGGGUAGUGUGAAUGGACUUUUGAGCGUUGAACCCGAACCAUUUUAUGCAGUAGGGGGAUCGAUUAGGCCUUAUCGUUAUACAAGGCAUCCACUUCAUUUGUAACAAUGAAUGAGUUGGACUAAGUGAAUCAGUAAGCUGAUUAAUCAAGGUGGCACCACGAGUUUAUCGUCCUUGUC
rfam:Carnobacterium maltaromaticum LMA28 complete genome